GUCUACAACUCGAACAAAGACAGCCAGAGUGAAGGGACUGCGCAGUUGGACAGCAUUGGCUUCAGCAUAAUCAGGAAAUGCAUCCAUGCUGUGGAAACCAGAGAACUCUUCAGAUGCUGCCUUUGGCAAGAGAAAGGAAAGCUUCUUUCGCCUCUGAUGACUGAACUAACAUGAGGGCUGAAGUGUGCAGCACAUCCGUGAAAUCCUAGACAGCUGUACCAAAUCCCACUCCUUUGCUAGGAGCUGAGCUGAGUGACAGGGGACUUUAAUUAGAGCAGCUCUUAGGAGGACUG
rnacentral:sRNA from 1 species